GAGGCGGGGAGGAAGAACCAACAGGGAUUGCCUCAGUAACGGCGAGUGAAGCGGCAACAGCUCAAAUUUGAAAUCUGGCCCUCGGGUCCGAGUUGUAAUUUGUAGAGGAUGCUUUUGGCGCGGUGCCUUCCGAGUUCCCUGGAACGGGACGCCUUAGAGGGUGAGAGCCCCGUACGGUUGGACACCAAGCCUCUGUAAAGCUCCUUCGACGAGUCGAGUAGUUUGGGAAUGCUGCUCUAAAUGGGAGGUAAAUUUCUUCUAAAGCUAAAUAUUGGCCAGAGACCGAUAGCGCACAAGUAGAGUGAUCGAAAGAUGAAAAGCACUUUGAAAAGAGGGUUAAAUAGCACGUGAAAUUGUUGAAAGGGAAGCGUUUGCGACCAGACCUUUUCCUGGCGGAUCAUCCGGUGUUCUCACCGGUGCACUUCGCCAGGUCGAGGCCAGCAUCGGUUUCCGCGGGGGGAUAAAAGCUCUGGGAACGUAGCUCCUCCGGGAGUGUUAUAGCCCUCUGCACAAUACCCCCGCGGGGACCGAGGACCGCGCUCUAAGCAAGGAUGCUGGCGUAAUGGUUGUCAACGACCCGUCUUGAAACACGGACCAAGGAGUCGAACAUUUGUGCGAGUGUUUGGGUGUCAAACCCUCACGCGUAAUGAAGGUGAACGUAGGUGAGAGCCCUUACGGGUGCAUCAUCGACCGAUCCUGAUGUCUUCGGAUGGAUUUGAGUAAGAGCAUAACUGUUCGGACCCGAAAGAUGGUGAACUAUGCGUGGAUAGGGUGAAGCCAGAGGAAACUCUGGUGGAGGCUCGCAGCGGUUCUGACGUGCAAAUCGAUCGUCAAAUCUGCGCAUGGGGGCGAAAGACUUAUCGAACCAUCUAGUAGCUGGUUACCGCCGAAGUUUCCCUCAGAUAGCAGUGUUGUUCUUCAGUUUUAUGAGGUAAAGCGAAUGAUUAGGGACUCGGGGGGCGCUUUUUUGCCUUCAUCCAUUCUCAAACUUUAAAUAUGUAAGAAGCCCUUGUUACUUAAUUGAACGUGGGCAUUCGAAUGUAC
rnacentral:rRNA from 1 species